AGCGCGGGUGCGAGUCGGAGGGUGCAAGCCCGUGGGCGAAGUGAAAGCGAGUUUAAAAACGAGCAGUUUGGGGCGGCAUAAGAUCGUUGAUCUUAAGACCGACCCAGAGCAGUUGCGCUGGGACCCGAAAGAUGGUGAACUAUGCCGGAGUAGGGCAAAGCCAGAGGAAACUCUGGUGGAGGCUCGUAGCGGUGCUGACGUGCAAAUCGCUCGUCGAACUUGGGUAUAGGGGCGAAAGACUAAUCGAACCAUCUAGUAGCUGGUUCCCUCCGAAGUUUCUCUCAGGAUAGCGGGCCGACAAGUUGUUUUGUGCGGUAAAGCGAAUGAUUAGCGCAAUCGGGGGCGUUUAGCCUUUGGGCGAUUCUCAAACUUUCAAUGCGCAAGGGUGCCGCUGCUUAAUUGAGCGGUACCGGUAAAAACGUCGGCCCUGUGGGCCACUUUUGGUAAGCAGAACUGGCGAUACGGGAUGAACCGUAAGCAAGGUUAAGGCGCCAAACUGCCCGCUUAUAGACCCCACAAAAGGUGUUGAUUCAUCGAGACAGCAGGACGGUGGCCAUGGAAGUCGGAAUCCGCCAAGGAGUGUGUAACAACUCACCUGCCGAAUGAAUUAGCCCUGAAAAUGGAUGGCGCUGAAGCGGGCGGCCGACACCUUGCCGUCUGAACAAGAAUUUCAGAUGAGUAGGAGGGCGUGGCGGCCGUGUCGAAGCGCGCGUGCAGACGCGUGUGGAACGGCCGCUAGUGCAGAUCUUGGUGGUAGUAGCAAGUAUUCAAGCGAGAUCCUUGAAGGGCGAAGUGGGGAAGGGUUUCACGCGAACAUUGAUUGGGCGUGAGUGAGUCGUUCCUAAGCCGAGUGGCAAUUGCUAAUUAACGGCGAAAGGGAAGCGGGUUGACAUUCCCGCACACGGAUGUGGAGGCGGCGACGCAUUAUUGGGGCGAACACGCUGGCGAUGGCGCUGGGCAGAGUUGUCUCUUCUGUUUGACCGCUUGCGCACGCAGUGUGGAAUCCGCUUGUCGGGAGAAACACGCGUGUACGGGCAGAGCGCUGGGGCUUUUCCAGCGUCCAGCUCGCCAUCGACGGCCCUUGAAACUUUGCCUGCUG
rnacentral:rRNA from 1 species